UGAAGAUGUGGUCGAGUGCUUG
rnacentral:siRNA from 1 species